CAUGCGACUUUUCGCUAACGGAUUGAUUUAAUGGCGCCCGAUUAGACGAUCCGAUAGAAGCACUUUUCAGGCUUAACGGAUUGAGCGAGAUACACCGUCGCGGCGACACGAUACAUGUUGCAUACAUGUGUACUAUAUUUUAAGAGCCCCCCUCGCUUUCUUUCGGAUUGCAAUGUGUUCAGACACACUUAAAACUUCGUUUAACAGAUUUUAUAUUCGUUUUUUAUUUUUCACUUUCUUUUCUGAAGUACAUUCUUUCAUACACACAUCCUCCCCCAGGUAUUUUUCAAAGAUUUUUCGACGAAACUAAAAAAAAAACUAACGCACACAACUAGAUCCGCGAGAGAGUGCGAAUCGGCAAAGAGCCUUUCUACAUACAGCGAGAAUGCUGCUGAGAAAUAACUGACAGCAUGCUUUGACAGCGACUGACAGCAUUUUCGGUGAGAGAAUUCUCCUCGGCAUGCAAAGAACGAUGGAGCUGAGAAAAAUUGAAUUGGCAGUUUAUAGCGAUCGAUCAAUUAUAGUUUGCAUUUUGCCGUCUAAUAAUCGUAGAUAUAUUAUUAAAAAGUAAAAGAAAUUUUUUUGGCUUCAUUUUAGCGAUUGAAAUGGAUUUUUUCAACAUCAUUUUAAAAGUCUCAUCUCGGCGCUUUUCAGAGAGCUUCUACACACACCAGCGUGAGAAACCGGUUGUCAAUUCUCUCCCGCUUGGCAAAGAGUAACUCAUUUUGAUGCCUCUCGCUACCCCUGGCCUUAGUUUUAAAGGAAUCAUGCGACACACUCGCACUCCACUACCCCAUCCCAUGGAAAAACGCUCCCACCAUCGAGGUGUUGACCAAAAUUUCGCUAUGUGCAUGAGACACACACUCGCACUCCUCCAGCCCUCCACAGCUGAACGCUCCCACCGUUGCGAAGUUUGCGAGAAUUUUUGCUCUGAGCGUGAGAUCCUGAAGCACCAGAGAUGACACUAUGUGUAAAGACGAUCAUAAUUCGGUAUGGUCAAAAUGCGUCGAUUGUCGUUUCAUUUAUCUGGUAAUGAUGUAUUCACUUCAUCAAAAUUUUAAACGUUCACAACUAGACUGAUAACAAUAUUUGAAUUUUUAAUCAGAAUAAAACCAAUUCAUUUGAAGCAAAAUAAAUUCCAUUAUACUUUAUUUUGACCAUAUGAUCAACACUUGUACAUAGUGCCAUUUACUUUGUGUUCUUCACUCUCGCGCUGUGUUUUGAUCGUUCGAAACUCAUUGCCAGAACGAAUGCAAAUUUCAUAUGGGAAUGAUCGGUGCCGGAAGAGGCAGCGAAAAUUAUGAAAUGAUAAUAGAAAAGUGGUUAAGUUAAUCGUGAAAGAUGUCAACGCAGACGUAAAUGUAGUAUGUUUUGUUACAUGAUCUACGGCUAUUUCAUUACCAAAGCUCCUGAUAACAGAUCAAAGCAGAUGGAUCGGGCAUACAGAGUCGCCGUUUAAUUUAAAAUAUCUGCGUGAUCGGUAAGUUUUAAAUAGUACUAGUUUUGUUCACCAUUCUAAUGCUCGAUUUAUCUUUCAUUCCUCAAGCAAACGCAUCAAACAGCAAGUGUUUUUCCUUCCAACAGCACGCACCAUCGGUGGUGCAGCAGCUAACGUUUUGUUCGCCUAGCGCGCACCAUCAAGAAUUGAUAUUUUGCCAAACAGUACUGUGAAUAAAAAACUGCACACUUACUGUAGGAA